AACAGUAUGGUAUUGGUUUAAAUUUAGUGGCCUGUAGCCUAAAUAGUAUAGCAAUGGUUUAUUGAUUUUAUUCGGAAUUCUUCUGAUACUUAGGGCAGUAGAAUACAGGUGAUCGAUAGUGUAACAUCGUGCAUUUUCAUAUGCACAUUUAGAUGCAUUAAAGCUUAAUUAUUUUGGCAAAUUAUUGGUUAGGCAAUACAUAGAGAUAAAAGCAGUUCAGAGCACCACUGCACCUGGGAAAGGACAUAGAGAGUGUGCAGAGAGUGUGUUACCAGAAUUGUAUGUGGGCUGUGGAUCCCAUAGAUCCAAGCGACGUUUGAGCGUUUUGAGGUUAGAAAUCUCUAUAUCCACAUGUCGUAUAAUAGACUGGUUUUACGAGCAGAUUUCGUGUCAAUUUAUUAUAUAAAGCUGAACAGAAAUAAAUAACUAUGCUGUACCUAUGACUUCGUUUGUUACGCAUUUCCAUACAAAUCACGGGAAGCCAGGGUUACAGAUUUGGCGACCACGACGAGACUUACGAAAACAACAAGGGAGAACACUUCUAAAUGGCAUAUUUGGACUUCUGUAUCUUUGGAUGAUAAAUUACGUAAUUGGAUGGAGAAGAGAGGAACACAUUUUUACAGUGACAAUUUACAGUGUAAACAUUAGGACAUUGUGCUUGUGGUUCUUGAUAAUAAACAUUGUUGUGAAUGUAAAAAGGUCAUCAGUUGCAGUUCAGAGCACCACUGCACCUGGGAAAGGACAUAGAGAGUGUGUAGAGAGUGUGUUACCAGAAUUGUAUGUGGGCUGUGGAUCCCAUAGAUCCAAGCGACGUUUGAGCGUUUUGAGGUUAGAAAUCUCUAUAUCCUCAUGUCGUAUAACAGACUGGUUUUACGAGAAGAUUUCGUGUCAAUUUAUUAUAUAAAGCUGAACAGAAAUAAAUAACUAUGCUGUACCUAUGACUUCGUUUGUUACGUAUUUCCAUACAAAUCACGGGAAGCCAGGGUUACAUUAUGAACUUUAGAACAUGAAUUUUUGUUUCUAAAAUAUUCAAAAAUCCAAAUCAAGAAAAAAAGAUGACCGCGUCAGGAAUCGAACCCCGAACCGCCGCGGCAAGAAAGACAUUUUCCCGUCGUCGUAACGAAUAGCGCUUUAGCUGAAGUAGUGAAUAAUGACUUCAAAAUAUAGAUAUUUAUAAUCGAGACAGUUUACCUGGAGUAAAAGCGUGACAAACGCUUUUCGAUUUUCGAUUUUAACAGCAAAUUCUCAUGUGUUUCCGUAACAUAAAGUUUGUCAGUAAUUAAGUUUUAAAGCCUUCUUAAGAAAUAUAGCAUUUAUUUCAAGAUAUCUAAAAAUAAUAUUUUUUUGUUGUUGAACGAUCUGGAGGCAUGCCGCUUUAAUAUUUUACUUGAAUUGACGGUUGAAUUGUGUCUGUCCAGAACGACAAAGAAAAUUUCAGCCUGGCUUUUGAAAGUAUUUAAAACUUCAUCACUUUCUCAAUAAAUUAUUAAACGCUAGCCGGUAUCUGGAUUAAAAAAGGAUACUUGUAAUCUUGUGAAAAUGCUUUCUUACUAUUGCUUGUUGGCUAGCUUGGUAGCAGCACCAAAAUAUAUAUAGAACCAUCUAAGUUGGUGGGUCCAGAAGAACAAGAAAUAUCAACAGAAAUAAACCAUUUUCUUGAUUGUGAUUCUUCAUUUUUUGUUAGAAAGUGUUGAGCAUGUGCAAAUCAACUCAAAAUCAUUUGAUGUAUGCCUCUGAGAGCGAAAGAUAAUAGUCAUAAGUGUCUAUUUCCUUACCGCGCAUUGGAUAAAAUAAUGUGUAAAGUUUAAGUGAUUUUCUUUACACUUUAAUAUGAAGGUGCAUAAAAUGUUUAUU